CCCACUCUUCUUCUGUUUUAGCAAGAGAGAACUCCAUGUUUUUGUUGUCACGAGACUGGGAGUCAUGGAGUUCUUUGUGAUCCUCAUCUGCCAUUGAGUCGUCGGUGCCAAAAUCUGCGCCAUUGCUGCCUAUUCUGAAAAAUAAAGAACCUCUGCAGAAUGGCUGAACAGCAAAACCAAAAAAUGUGUGAGAGGCAGAGAGAGAGAGAGAGAGAGAGAGAGAGAGAGAGAGGCAGAGUGAGAUGUAAUUUGUUUGAGGCAACUUCUUGUAUAGACUACAGAAUAAUUUGAAGGGAGCAAAGAUGUUGGCUUUUCCUUAGCAGAUAGGGCUAUGUUUUGAGUGGCG